UACGAAGGGGGCUAGCGUUGUCCGGAAUCAUUGGGCGUAAAGGGCGCGUAGGUGGCGGGACAAGCGUGCGGUGAAAGCUCGGGGCUCAACCCCGCGUCGGCCGUGCGAACUGUUUUGCUUGAGCACUGUAGAGGCAGGCGGAAUUCCGGGUGUAGCGGUGGAAUGCGUAGAGAUCCGGAAGAACGCCGGUGGCGAAGGCGGCCUGCUGGGCAGUAGCUGACACUGAGGCGCGACAGCGUGGGGAGCAAACAGG
rnacentral:rRNA from 1 species